rnacentral:lncRNA from 1 species
CCUGGCUGCAGAUCGCCGUUCCGGUUUAAAUCCCUCUGCUGGGGGGGGGGCAGGUGGGAGGUUUAUACUGCUGGCCCUGGGGGCCUGGCCCGCGGUGCCGUGGAAGGGAGCGGUCGUCCAGGCCCUGCUGCGUUAAACCUCCCUAAAGGAUUUAUCCUGGCUGGCCGGCCCCGUGGCCUUGCCAUGACGAAGCCCGGUCUGUGGCUAUUUCUAACCUGCAAACACGGAAGUUUUUCUCUCCAGAAGAGACCACAGCUUGCGGCUAGUGAACCGUUCUCCCUCUGUGCUCUCCUGCAAGUUUAAAAAUGGUGACUGAGUUGUACAGGAGAACCAGGACAAUCCCAAAAAUUGCUGAGGUGAGGCUGGCUGGCCAGGGAGUUUCCAGAUGAGAUACUUUAAAUGAAGCAGCGCUGCAGAGGCCAGAGCAAUACCAUGAGUUUAAAUUCUAUACGUUAAUAGCCACGUCCUCCUAAUUUUCCUUGGGAUCCAUCCAGUUUGCAGUUCGCCUUCCCAUACAGGGAGAGCUUAAUCCCUGAUGCUGUGCUUCAGAGGAAUCUCUUCCGGAAUGCACCUUUAAUCUUCCUCCCUGGACGGUCUCCUUCCUUGACAAUGUCAUGUCCUCUCCAGAAAUUUAAGCGUGAGGUAAAAAACAUGAUCAGUUUGUCAUUGAGGUUGGAGACUUACUGAUUAGCAUAAGUAGGAAAUGCAGUCCAGAUCUGGUAGUGCACUUUGAACAUAUUACCCUUAACCAUGAGACUGUUCU